rnacentral:misc_RNA from 1 species
GAUGAAGAACGCAGCGAAAUGCGAUAAGUAAUGUGAAUUGCAGAAUUCAGUGAAUCAUCGAAUCUUUGAACGCACAUUGCGCCCGCCAGUAUUCUGGCGGGCAUGCCUGUUCGAGCGUCAUUACAACCCUCAGGCCCCCGGGCCUGGCGUUGGGGAUCGGCGGAUGCCCCCUGCGGGCACAACGCCGUCCCCCAAAUACAGUGGCGGUCCCGCCGCAGCUUCCAUUGCGUAGUAGCUAACACCUCGCAACUGGAGAGCGGCGCGGCCACGCCGUAAAACACCCAACUUCUGAAUGUUGACCUCGAAUCAGGUAGGAAUACCCGCUGAACUUAAGCAUAUCAAUAAGCGGAGGA